UCGCUAUGAUGAAGGCUAUGUUG
rnacentral:piRNA from 1 species